UGGAAGCGAUGGGCCAAGUCUGAUGAAGCUCGAGGUUUAUUCUUGUUGAGUUCAAGAAGAAGGGAGGUGAGUUAGAAAAAAAGGAGUGCCAAGUAGUAAGGGCCCUUUGGGCUUGAUCUCUGAGGCCCAAUGCAUGGGGCAAAGGGAUGGAAGGGAUUUAGUCUCCCUCAUUCAAUUUUCAAUCCUAACAGACACUCCCCUCUCUCUUGUCAGAAAUCGCUCCGCCGCACUGGAGGCGGAAAAGCUACCCAUAACAAGCCAAAACCACCAUCACUAGACUUAUUUUUUCACCCUUUCUCUAUUUCUCAUACCUAUUUCAUCUGAAUCUCACUUAAUCCUCCAAUCCACCAAAAAACCUCUAAGAACCCUAAUUCUCCCAUCUAACAUUAAAUGGCCACGAUUCACAAACCUAAGCCAUUACCUUAGGGAUUUUGUUUGUUAAUACAAAUGCUACAUAAUGGUAACAAUAUUGGUGUAAAGAAGUGAAGAAUCGAGAUUGCCAAGCCUACCUACAGAGCGGAGGUGUGCUAUGGAAAUGUUGUAAAGCUUGAAGAUGGAGAUGUGAAGAGAGAAACCCAGAGAUAUGCUCAGGGCUGCUACAAUGAGAGUAUGAGGCCUUGACCAUGGUAUGUUUUAAUAAGGCAUAUGAUGAUGGAAGCUUGGUCAUACCAUGUCUAUAUGGAGCUUGGAGUUUGGAUCAUUGGGUAUGCAAAGGAAAGGGAUUUUGAGCCACAAAUAGAAAAUCUUGAGGAUGGAAGAAAAGUAGGUUUAGAAUCAGUUUGACUUUGGUCAACUAUUUGACCAAAAGUCAACAGUCGACCAAAAGUCAACCAUAGGUCAAAAAUGUGAUUUUUUAUGUAGUUUGUAAUUUUGGCUUUUGUGAUGUGGUUUUUUGAUUUUGUAAUUAAAUCUUGGACCUUGAAUGUAUAUCUUGGCUUAUUUCUUAAGAAAUGCAUCUUUUCCCUCCAA